GUGGCGGUAGCUCAGUUGGUAGAGCGCCUGGUUGUGGUCCAGGAGGUCGCGAGUUCGAUCCCCGCCGGUCACCCCA
rnacentral:tRNA from 1 species